UUCUCUUUGCUUGUCUAUCUAUUUGUGGGUGGAAAGCAGUACUAAGGCAUACUCUAGUACCCAAACCCUUUUGGAACGACUUUCAAAAAUAGGAUAAAAAUAGAGGACCAUGAUCCAAAAUGAUAAAAAUCGGAGCACCAUGCAACUUCACGAUCUCCAUAAGAUACAACUUAGCAUAAUCUUCCGUCGAGUAAUUUGUCCUUAUGGG
rnacentral:lncRNA from 1 species